CAGCCGCGGCUCCUCCCCCGGCCGGCCCCCAAGGCGGGGUCUGCCGGCUUCCCUCCCCUCGCCGCCCGCCGCUCACUCUGCCCGCCGGCUCCCGGCCGCUCGGCACCACGGCUUCCCUUCCCGAGCCCGGCGUGAGGGGCUGCCCCGUCGCCAGCGCCGGUGCCACCACCUCGUCCGCCGGCCAAGCCCCGCCGCUCCCGCGGCCCGCGGCCGCCAUGCAGUUUAUGUUGCUUUUUAGUCGUCAAGGGAAGCUUCGCCUGCAAAAAUGGUAUGUCCCACUGUCGGACAAAGAGAAGAAGAAGAUUACAAGAGAACUUGUUCAGACUGUUUUAGCCCGGAAACCUAAAAUGUGCAGCUUUCUUGAAUGGCGUGAUCUGAAGAUUGUUUACAAAAGAUAUGCUAGCCUGUAUUUUUGUUGCGCUAUUGAGGAUCAGGACAACGAACUGAUCACCCUGGAAAUCAUUCACCGUUACGUGGAGUUGCUUGACAAAUAUUUUGGCAGCGUGUGUGAGCUUGACAUCAUCUUUAAUUUUGAGAAGGCUUACUUUAUUUUGGAUGAGUUUCUCUUGGGAGGAGAAGUUCAGGAAACGUCCAAGAAAAAUGUGCUGAAAGCAAUUGAGCAGGCGGAUUUACUGCAGGAGAGCCAGAAUGAAGAAUGGGGAGGUUUGUCUGAGGAUAUCUUAUGAUAAAGCGCAGUCUAAGGCUUUAGUUCGUUUGACCCCCAACUUAUUUAUUGGUAAACUUGAUCGGAUAACUGAAGUUUGGUUACACUGAUCCCUGAAAUCCACGCCAUGAAUAUUUUAAUGUCCCUGUGUACUAAAUGACUACUCAUCGCCCAUGCAGAAUUUCACGAGGAAAUAGAGCUGAUACACUUAUGAAAAGAAAAUAUCCUCAGCUUGGUGACUGGUUAUCUUCUAAUAAUAGAACCAAUAACCUUACCAUUGUAAUUUUUCCUGUUCUCAUUCUUUUUGGUUUUAUUUUCAUUCUCUAUGUGUUCUUAAUACAGCUUAUUCCUGCUUGCAACUGAAUUAAUUUCCUUCUUGAAAAAAGUGACCUAUGAAUGUGUGAAUAACAUCUUAAACUCAUGCAUGUCAUUUAUGAACUAUCUGUGAUAAAUCUUAAAAGAGGAAAAACCUAGUUGUCUUUAAUAUGUUUACCAAAGAAAAUACAACUGGAAUGUUAGGUUGCAAAAAGCAGUGCCAUAAUAUAUAGCAUGGUUUGUUCUUCAAAUGUUGGGUGGAGGGAAUGAAGCUCUAUUUAGUAUGGUUAUAUUACUGUCUAUAUGAACUAAUAUGUAUAAAGGGUAUUUGGAAAUAAUAUAAGAAAAUAACAUCUGUAUUAUUAUAUAAUAUUUAAGAUACAACAAACAUUCACAGUACUUAAUUUGUAACAUCACAGUUAUGGCAUUAUAUUUGUACUAUACAAUAUUAAACAAUCCCUUUAAGAGAUAUCAGAAAACUGUCAGAAAUAUGUCCACUAUAGCUCAUCUGCAGUCAAUAGUUCAGUAGUAAUUAACCAUUUCAAAGUAUUAAUACUGAGCUUAUAUAGUUAAAGAUGAUAAGAUUUGGUUUAUGUAGAAAUAUUGUUAUGGUUCUUCUAAUAUAAAAAGCCUUAAAUACUGAGUAUAUAUUUCUGAAUAGUAAAACCUUUAACAUUGAUCAUUAUCAUACUUUCAAAAUACAGUAUAUUUUAUUAUACAAGGAAAAGUACCAAAUCAUUAUCUACACCUAGAGAGUUUAAAACUCAAGUGUACUAAGUUACUAUCAAACAAUAAAUACAAAAGAUGCUUAAACUAGUUUGCCACUAAAAGAAGGCCUGUAACAGCACACACUAGGACAAGAAGGCAUAUCACUUAUUUCCAUUCUUUUCAUUCUCACUGUACUACAUUGCAUUUGAAGCAGCUGGGUGAGCUAUCAAAUGAGGAUACAUUGAGGGCAUUUGAAAACAUUGGUCUUUUGUUUCCAUUUUCCCCUCCAUCCCUCUCCCUGCCCUGCAAUGUUAUUCAUCUGGUUUGAAGACUGCAUAAAUAUGUCCUGUGUCAUGCCUGUUUGCUUUGAAUGUCCUGUGCUGUAACAAAAAGUUGCUCCUUUUGUUAUCUGUAUACAGCUGCUUGCUUUAAAUUGGUAGAUUCUGAAAUCGCUUUCCUUGCAUGUCUAAAAUAAAAGCAUUGCAUGUACUUUGACGUGAAUGACUAUUUUCUUCCCUCACUCUUUUGAAUUAUGUACUUUGUUUUAUCUUUCUAGAUAAUUCUUUAAAAUUAUGGUUUAAAAAUACCAAUUGACCAGCUUAACCAUUUUCAAGUAUACCAUUCAGUAAAGUAUAUUCACGUGGUCAUGCAACAAACCUCUCACAGCCUUAGCUGGCAAAACUAAACUUGGUGCCCAUCGAGCAACACCCCUCAGCCAUUAGUAACUACCAUUGUACUUUUUCCAUGAAUUUGGCCACUUUAAGUAAUAGUUUUUCUAAGGAAUUUUGAGUCAUACUUGCAAUGUGAACACGUAAAAAAUUAUAUUUUAUAAUCAAUUCACACACUUGUACUAUUUGUACAAUAUCUAAUAGAAUGUGUAAGUGAGUCUUUGAAGCAAGGCCUUUUAGAAGGCCCAUAAGAAAGACACAUAAUUUGAGAAAUUAAGGUCUUUUAGAACGAAAGAAUUUAAACAAUGCAUUUGAUAAGCAACAUGAUUCUCUUUACGAAAUAUUGUAUGCAACUAUAGGCGUAGAGCACAGAGGAAGUUGGACCAGCUCCAGGGAAUAGAUGACACAUGGAUGAGCUAAGAAUGUUAAAUGAUAAAAUGUAAUGCAGGCAUCCCUGACUAAAAGCAUUCAAGUUUAUUUGAUUUUUAAAAUCAUUUAACAUUACACGGAAAUUGUUUCCUCCAUUUAACAUGUUACUGAGAUGUGUGUACUUUCAGUGUAUGUAGUGCUUAAAGCUAAACAGUAUUAGUGCAAGACAGACAUCACUCUUGAGAGUGGUGCAUCGUUUCCUUUAGACUUCUCUUAAAACCUUUUAAUUAUGGGGCCAGGGAAAUAACUUUUUUAAAAUAGGCUGGGGCACAUGCUUUAUAUGAGAGCCCCCAGUACUGGAUGGUUCCCCCAAGCUCUGAAGGAAACAGCCCCAAGUACCCUGCCAGCAGAAUCCCCCAAGCAUUACUCGGUCUAACAAAAAGCAAAUAACAAUGUUCAUCAUGAGAACUCAAGAUAUGUGAAUAGAAUCGUAGAAGGAAACCUUAUGUAUGCAUCAUCACUUGUCUCAAGUGUCCAUAACCAUUCACUCAUGUACUUGUUUCAUUGGCUCCACCCUCAUUUUUGCCUCUGUAUUUGAGAGCAAGCCCUACAUCGAUACCUGUCAUUUCAUCUUUAACGCUUCAGUAUGCAUCUGUAAGGGACAGGCACCACACCCUUCAAACUAAUGUGAGACUUGUGAGACGUUACUGUUUUGGGCAUAUCGAAUACGCCAUGGGGAGCUUGCCAGACUCUGCCGUGUGGUUGGGAUACUCUCGGUAGCUUGCCGGGCUCUCCAAGAGGGACGGAGGAAUCGGACCCAGGUUGGCUGCCUGCAAGGCAAAUGCCCUACCCGUUGUGCUAUCAUUCCAGUCCUAAAGACUAUUCCUAAUAUCUUAUUCCUGGUUCACUUUUUCUGUUCUCUGAAAGUGCAUUUUUGUAAUCAGUUUGUUAGAAUCACAGGCUGAAUGCUUUUUAAAAAUAUCAUUUGUUUCUUAUCUUCCACAUUUAGAGCUGUAGUUUGCCUAAAUGCAAUCUGGUGGUAGGGCAAGAGUACCUGAUGGGUAAGAAGACUGCCUUUUGAAUGCCCAUUUUUGACCAGGGAUGCAACUCAGUGGUAGAGCAUUGCUUUGUAUAUCUAAGGCCCUGGGUUCCAUCCCUGGCACAACCGCGAGGGUGGGGAAGGAAGGGGGAAGAGAACACCUUCCCACCAAAAGCAGGUCUUGCUAAUAUUUAAAUACAAAACACAAAAAAUGUCAUCAAGGGCCAGAAAGACAGUACAGCGGGUAAGGCGCUUGCUUGCCUUGCGAGUAAGUGGCCAAUCUGGGUUCGAUCCCUGGCAUCCCAUACAGUCCCCCAAGCACUGCCAGAAGUGAUUCCUGGGUGCAGAGCCAAGGAGUAACCCCUGAGCAUUGCAGGGUGUGGCCCCAAAGCAAACAAUCAAACCCUGUCAUCAAAUUAAAUUUCUAUGAUUGGCUUACAGUGCCUUCAGUACUAAAUGCCAAAUACCUUCAUUCAAACUGCAGUUGCAUAACAAUAUCAAGCUAAUAUUUUGUGAGCGUUUUCAGUAAAUCAGGCACUGCGCCAUCGCGAUCUCAACGUAUGAAAGGUAAGUACUGUAUUUCUUUCCACUUUAAGGAAACAGAUAGUUGUGUUUAAGUGUUUUACUUAAAAUGAUCCCAUAUGGCACUUUACAUAUAAUUAAAUUAAUAUGAAUUUAUGACUUAAUAUAAUUUUUGUUUUCCUUGUUUUGUGCUGUACCAAAAUUAGGAUGCAAAAGAAGCUGAAACUCCGCGUAGCGUCCUUGAAGAAAUUGGACUGACAUAAAUCUCCUCCCCUGCUGAUGACUUCCUGUGGCAUUUCACACUGUAGAUGGUCACUGCCUUCAUGUCCAUGUUAGCUAAUGGUGUAAGAUGACGUCUUGUCAGUAUUACUGUUUUUGCUAAGCUGCUUCAUUCAGGCCUACACGAUUUUUUUAAAAGAAACUUUGGUUAAUGAAGUGGUAACUUUAAGGGAAUUAAUAUGAGUUAAAAUAAUACAGAAAAAGCACCUUUUCUGGAUAUUUUCAAGUUUAUAGGCCCGUUUCCCUUACUUUGAUUAUGUAUAUGAAACUGACACAAUCAGGAAAUAUACAUUUAUUAACCACUGUCUUUUAGCAAAGGGAACAGUUAAAUUAUGUGAAAUCUGGUUUUAUGAAACCAAAGACUAGUGUAGUACUUCAGUAUACGUGCAAAUAAAGGGAAUUACAAUAUUACAUACAGAAUGAAAAUUUAACUCUUGAAACAACAUCAAAAAUACUCCAAAUUUAUACCAAAGACCCUUAUUAGAAACUUAUUACAAACCUUAAAGCAAAGGGAAUACACAAAUGACAAAAUUGGAAUGAUGCUCUUUUAGCCCCAAAGAUUUCUUACACAUUCGGACCCAGGGACAAUGAAUAGAGCUCAACCGUUUCAUACUAUGGCACACGUUCAUUUUUAAGGUCGAGAAAUAUUUGACUCCUGAGAGAAAUGAAAAACUAUCUUAUGGCAAAAUGUGUUCUUUUCUUCACCAAGUGUUACGUAAGUCUUGGUUAAAGCACGACUCUUUUUUCUGGGGUGCUAGUUACUGCCACGUUAAUUUUGCUUCCCUCCACUUAGAAGUGCUGCCAAUGCUAAGGCAACUUUCUCCCCUUCUGUGACACUGCCCAGUAUCAAAAGUAUUAUAAAAAUAAAAAGGGACACCGCCUUCAUAUAAAAGGGAGAGCCGAAUGAGGUAAAAUGACAUUAGUGGGCCGGUAUUUUCAAAGCUGUCAAAUCGUUUUAGUGUCACUUUCGUGUAUCUUAAAUCUGUGGAAACACGUUUUUAUAAUUUACAUUUUCACUUGUACCUGCUGGGCUGGAUUAAGCUUCAUUGUGAUUCUGACCAACAUUUAGGCCAUGGGAACACCGUCUUAUCACAUCACCCAUUAGUUGUUAUAAAAUGUCCAACACAUACCACUGUAGCGUGCUUUUCUCUUUCCAAAAAUUUGACCAAGUGUGGAGAGCUGCUGAAAGAAGAGUUCUGAAUUUUUGUUUAGUAAAAUGUUGAAAAUUCACCUCCAUGUGAAUGUGGUGGUUGUUAAAAGCACAUGCAAGAUGCAAGAUUUAAGGGAUAUUCAUGUACUUCAAGUUCAUUAAAAAUAAUGUGGAUUCCAUGCUAUUGAGAGCUUAUCUAUACAUUUAUUUUCAAUCAAUAAAUGCCGCUUUUAAAACCCUGAA